UAGCAAUCACAAUGAUGAAAUCAGCCUCAUGACAUUGUAGAUGCUCGAGAUACGAUUGUUUGCUAAUAUCAUUGUGAUUUGCGAGUUUUUAACAGGAUGCACUCGCCAUUGUAAUAGGCGGUACCUCUUUUUGCAAAACAUUUGUUUAUUCAUUUGAAACAGUGGUAAUUGCAUAUUCGUGAUUUCAUUGUAACUUGAUGGGUGAGGGUAUUUUGCAAGGACAGAAUCAAAC
rnacentral:lncRNA from 1 species